rnacentral:rRNA from 1 species
AACGUAGGAGACAAACGUUAUCCGGAGUUACUGGGCGUAAAGGGCGUGUAGGUGGUUUUGUAAGUCUGGCGUGAAAUUUUUCGGCUUAACCGGGAAAGGUCGUCGGAUACUGCAGAACUAGAGGACGGUAGAGGCGUGUGGAAUUCCGGGUGUAGUGGUGAAAUGCGUAGAGAUCCGGAGGAACACCAGUGGCGAAGGCGACACGCUGGGCCGUACCUGACACUGAUGCGCGACAGCAUGGGGAGCAAA